rnacentral:lncRNA from 1 species
CUGGAGGAGAGCUUGUGGGAGCCAAGGAGCACCUUGGACAUCUGGAGUCUGGCAGGAGUGAUGACGGGUGGAGGGGCUAGCUCGAGGCAGGGCUGGUGGGGCCUGAGGCCAGUGAGGAGUGUGGAGUAGGCGCCCAGGCAUCGUGCAGACAGGGCGACAUCAGCUGGGGACGAUGGGCCUGAGCUAGGGCUGGAAAGAAGGGGGAGCCAGGCAUUCAUCCCGGUCACUUUUGGUUACAGGACGUGGCAGCUGGUUGGACGAGGGGAGCUGGUGGGCAGGGUUUGAUCCCAGGGCCUGGGCAACGGAGGUGUAGCUGGCAGCAGCGGGCAGGUGAGGACCCCAUCUGCCGGGCAGCCAGGUCUCCAGCUGGGGUGGACGUGCCCACCAGCUGCCGAAGGCCAAGACGCCAGGUCCGGUGGACGUGACAAGCAGGACAUGACAUGGUCCGGUGUGACGGCGAGGACAGAGGAGGCGCGUCCGGCCUUCCUGAACACCUUAGGCUGGUGGGGCUGCGGCAAGAAGCGGGUCUGUUUCUUUACUUCCUCCACGGAGUCGGCACACUAUGGCUGCCCUCUGGGCUCCCAGAACCCACAACAUGAAAGAAAUGGUGCUACCCAGCUCAAGCCUGGGCCUUUGAAUCCGGACACAAAACCCUCUAGCUUGGAAAUGAAUAUGCUGCACUUUACAACCACUGCACUACCUGACUCAGGAAUCGGCUCUGGAAGGUGAAGCUAGAGGAACCAGACCUCAUCAGCCCAACAUCAAAGACACCAUCGGAACAGCAGCGCCCGCAGCACCCACCCCGCACCGGCGACUCCAUCUUCAUGGCCACCCCCUGCGGCGGACGGUUGACCACCAGCCACCACAUCAUCCCAGAGCUGAGCUCCUCCAGCGGGAUGACGCCGUCCCCACCACCUCCCUCUUCUUCUUUUUCAUCCUUCUGUCUCUUUGUUUCUGAGCUUUCCUGUCUUUCCUUUUUUCUGAGAGAUUCAAAGCCUCCACGACUCUGUUUCCCCCGUCCCUUCUGAAUUUAAUUUGCACUAAGUCAUUUGCACUGGUUGGAGUUGUGGAGACGGCCUUGAGUCUCAGUACGAGUGUGCGUGAGUGUGAGCCACCUUGGCAAGUGCCUGUGCAGGGCCCGGCCGCCCUCCAUCUGGGCCGGGUGACUGGGCGCCGGCUGUGUGCCCGAGGCCUCACCCUGCCCUCGCCUAGUCUGGAAGCUCCGACCGACAUCACGGAGCAGCCUUCAAGCAUUCCAUUACGCCCCAUCUCGCUCUGUGCCCCUCCCCACCAGGGCUUCAGCAGGAGCCCUGGACUCAUCAUCAAUAAACACUGUUACAGCAAUU